rnacentral:rRNA from 1 species
UACGGGGGGGGCAAGCGUUGUUCGGAAUUACUGGGCGUAAAGGGCUCGUAGGUGGCCAACUAAGUCGGACGUGAAAUCCCUCAGCUUAACUGGGGAACUGCGUCCGAUACUGGAUGGCUUGAGUUUGGGAGAGGGAUGCGGAAUUCCAGGUGUAGCGGUGAAAUGCGUAGAUAUCUGGAGGAACACCGGUGGCGAAGGCGGCAUCCUGGACCAACAUUGACGCUGAGGAGCGAAAGCUAGGGGAGCAAACGGG